rfam:Lasius niger Lnig_2.1_8640, whole genome shotgun sequence.
CAAUCGGCCCUUUUCAGGGCCACAUGAUGUGCAAAGUCUGUCCGUG